AACGAACGCUGGCGGCGUGCCUAACACAUGCAAGUCGAGCGGGAAAGUUCCCUUCGGGGAGCGAGUACAGCGGCGAACGGGUGAGUAACACGUAGGUAACCUACCCUGGAGACUGGGAUAACCUGCCGAAAGGCGGGCUAAUACCAGAUAAGACCACGAGGGUUGCGGCCCCUGGGGCAAAAGAUGGCCUAUGCUUGCAAGCUAUCACUCCGGGAUGGGCCUGCGCGCCAUUAGCUAGNGGUGAGGUAACGGCUCACCAAGGCAGAGAUGGCUAGCUGGUCUGAGAGGAUGGCCAGCCACACUGGGACUGAGACACGGCCCAGACUCCUACGGAGGCAGCAGUGGGGAAUAUUGCGCAAUGGGCGAAAGCCUGACGCAGCGACG
rnacentral:rRNA from 1 species